rnacentral:rRNA from 1 species
UACGUAGGGUGCAAGCGUUAAUCGGAAUUAUUGGGCGUAAAGAGCUCGUAGGCGGUCUGUCGCGUCGGAUGUGAAAAUCCAGGGCUCAACCCUGGACCUGCAUUCGAUACGGGCAGACUAGAGUUCGGCAGGGGAGACUGGAAUUCCUGGUGUAGCGGUGAAAUGCGCAGAUAUCAGGAGGAACACCGGUGGCGAAGGCGGGUCUCUGGGCCGAUACUGACGCUGAGGAGCGAAGGCGUGGGGAGCGAACAGG